AAAUUGAAGAGUUUGAUCAUGGCUCAGAUUGAACGCUGGCGGCAGGCCUAACACAUGCAAGUCGAACGGUAGCACAGAGAGCUUGCUCUCGGGUGACGAGUGGCGGACGGGUGAGUAAUGUCUGGGAAACUGCCUGAUGGAGGGGGAUAACUACUGGAAACGGUGGCUAAUACCGCAUAACGUCGCAAGACCAAAGAGGGGGACCUUCGGGCCUCUUGCCAUCAGAUGUGCCCAGAUGGGAUUAGCUAGUUGGUGAGGUAACGGCUCACCAAGGCGACGAUCCCUAGCUGGUCUGAGAGGAUGA
rnacentral:rRNA from 2 species